AACGAACGCUGGCGGCAGGCUUAACACAUGCAAGUCGAGCGCCCCGCAAGGGGAGCGGCAGACGGGUGAGUAACGCGUGGGAAUCUACCCAUCCCUACGGAACAACUCCGGGAAACUGGAGCUAAUACCGUAUACGCCCUACGGGGGAAAGAUUUAUCGGGGAUGGAUGAGCCCGCGUUGGAUUAGCUAGUUGGUGGGGUAAAGGCCUACCAAGGCGACGAUCCAUAGCUGGUCUGAGAGGAUGAUCAGCCACAUUGGGACUGAGACACGGCCCAAACUCCUACGGGAGGCAGCAGUGGGGAAUAUUGGACAAUGGGCGCAAGCCUGAUCCAGCCAUGCCGCGUGAGUGAUGAAGGCCUUAGGGUUGUAAAGCUCUUUCACCGAUGAAGAUAAUGACGGUAGUCGGAGAAGAAGCCCCGGCUAACUUCGUGCCAGCAGCCGCCGCGGUAA
rnacentral:rRNA from 1 species